AUGAUAUGUGACUUUGGGGUUUAGGGAUUUCAUUCUCGGUGUUUAGGGCUAAGCGUUGUAAAAUCGUUGUAAAAAUAACACGGACAUGGUAACUUCGUCGUAAAUGGUUAAAUCGAUUCCACGUAAUUUCGUCGUAAAUGGAAAAAGACGGGCCUGGUAACUUCGUCGUAAACGGAAAAGCCUGGUAAAUCGAUUCGACGUAAUUUCAUCGUAAAUGGAAAAAGACGGGUCUGGUAACUUCGUCGUAAACAGAAAAGCUUGGUAAAUCGAUUCGACUUAAUUUCGUCGUAAACAGACGCGGGCCUGGUAACUUCGUCGUAAAUGGAAAAACGCGGGCCUGGUAACUUCGUCGUAAUAUUACGUCGCGUUUACGACGAAACGUUUUCUAUAUAUUGAGACGCCGAGAGCGAGGCUGCCUCGUUCAUUCCUCCCAAAUUCCUUUGCUC
rnacentral:lncRNA from 1 species